ACCGCGCGAUUAACCCGCUCCCGGCGGGGGAGGGGAAAACAAAAGACCGUAUGUCAGGCCCGUAAUAUACACGCGACAUACGGAAAGAUGAAAGAGAGAGAGAGAGGAGGGGAGAGAUAAAGAGAAUAAAAAGAAAAAGAGUGCGAGUGCGUGCGUAGAAGAGGGGCGAGGGAAGAGAGAAAGAGAGAAGACAACGCGUGUGUCUAUCGCGACGGGAUGUCGACGUUGAAAAACCGUGAGGUACCUUUGACGAAGUGACCGCGCAUCGCUCGUGCGAUUGUCACGCGGCUCGCGUCGUCGUCGUCGCCGUCGCCGUCGCCGUCGCCGUCGCCGUCGCCGCGCGCGCACCGAAUUCGUCUGUCCAUCUGCACGUAAGAACGAUAGACGACCAUGACGACGACGAUAGUGAUAAUAACGGCGACGGCGGCGGUGGCGAAAACGAGACGGGCGAGAAUGGUUCUUUGAUCGAUUCGAAGUCCUCCGCCGGAUCGGAUCCGUGCGUUGUCAUCGUCACGAAGCGAACGCGCGACAGUCGGAAUCCGCGUCUUCAAGAUCGAUGCACCGGAGGAGACUCGUGACCGCCGACACGUAUCGAGGACGCCACUCGCGACAUAUGUCACGCGUUCUCGCCUCCCAUCCCCUCUCUCCUUCCGCGCGAUAUAAAUGUGUAAUGUAAUAAAUAAAUAAACUCUCCGGUCUAAUCUAA